AGUUAACGCUGGCGGUAGGCCUAACACAUGCAAGUCGAACGGCAGCACAGUAAGAGCUUGCUCUUACGGGUGGCGAGUGGCGGGCGGGUGAGGAAUACAUCGGAAUCUACUUUUUCGUGGGGGAUAACGUAGGGAAACUUACGCUAAUACCGCAUACGACCUACGGGUGAAAGCAUUGGAUCUUCGGACCUUUCGCGUUUGAAUGAGCCGAUGUCGGAUUAGCUAGUUGGUGGGGUAAAGGCCCACCAAGGCGAAGAUCCGUAGCUUGUCUGUGAGGAGGAUACGCCACAUUGGAACUGAGCAACGGAAAAGACUACUAAGGAAGCCCGCAGUGGGCAAUAUUGGACACAGGGCGAAAGCUUGAGCGAGCAAUCUCGCGUGGGUCACAAAGGCCUUCGGAUUGUAAAGCCCUUUUGUUGGGAAAGAAAAGCAGAAGGUUAAAACACCGCUGUUCUGACGGUAAGAAAACAAUACGCCACGGAUAAAUUCGCG
rnacentral:rRNA from 1 species